rnacentral:tRNA from 1 species
GCGUCUGUAGCCUAGUUGGUAAAGGCACCACUCUAGUAAGCUGGGGUUGUGAGUUUGACUCUCACCAGACAGA